rnacentral:rRNA from 1 species
UACCGGCACCCCGAGGGGUCGGGAAGAUUAUUGGGCCUAAAGCAUCCGUAGCCGGUCUUGCAAGUCUUCCGUUAAAUCCAGCUGCUUAACAGAUGGGCUGCGGAAGAUACUACAAGACUAGGAGGUGGGAGAGGCAAGCGGUACUCAGUGGGUAGGGGUAAAAUCCUCUGAUCCAUUGAAGACCACCAGUGGCGAAGGCGGCUUGCCAGAACGCGCUCGACGGUGAGGGAUGAAAGCUGGUGGAGCAAACCGG